rnacentral:sRNA from 1 species
GCAAGAAUGAAAUUAAACAGGGCUUGGCACAGUGAAGCACGGGAAAGGCUUUCUACAGAGCGGUGACUUGUUACUCGCUGUUACACCUUAGGUAAUGCGUUUUCCUCUCCGGGGGCCUCCCAUUCUCUGGUUCAAGUCCCUGCCCAGGAUCAAGCUUGGAGGAGGGCCCCGAGGGGGGUCCACAGAGACUGGGUGAAGAGCAAGGGUGUUUGUCCCAGGAGCAUGGCGAAAAUUGCUGCUGGGUGGCCUUGGGAAGCACAAAGGGGACCCAACUAAGGGCCUGAUCCUACUGCCCUGGGGGUGUCAGUGCCAGCCCCCAACAAACCUUUUCUGCCCCCCCCAGGAGGCUGACCAGUGUGUGGCCUGUGCCCACUAUAAGGACCCUCCCUUCUGCGUGGCCCGCUGCCCCAGCGGUGUGAAACCUGACCUCUCCUACAUGCCCAUCUGGAAGUUUCCAGAUGAGGAGGGCACGUGCCAGCCUUGCCCCAUCAACUGCACCCACUCCUGUGUGGACCUGGAUGACAAGGGCUGCCCCGCCGAGCAGAGAGCCAGCCCUCUGACGUCCAUCAUCUCUGCGGUGGUGGGCAUUCUGCUGGUCGUGGUCUUGGGGGUGGUCUUUGGGAUCCUCAUCAAGCGACGGCAGCAGAAGAUCCGGAAGUACACGAUGCGGAGGCUGCUGCAGGAAACGGAGGUGAGGCGGGGUGAAGGCCUCCCAGCCCGCGUGGGGUCUGCACUGGCCCCCGGCAUUGACCCACCACCCCCUCACCCCAGCUGGUGGAGCCGCUGACACCUAGCGGAGCGAUGCCCAACCAGGCGCAGAUGCGUAUCCUGAAAGAGACGGAGCUGAGGAAGGUGAAGGUGCUUGGAUCUGGCGCUUUUGGCACAGUCUACAAGGGCAUCUGGAUCCCUGAUGGGGAAAAUGUGAAAAUUCCAGUGGCCAUCAAAGUGUUG